GGCCAGAGCGGUGGAGGUGGAGGCAGCGGCGGGUCUCCUCCUCCCCUCCCAGCUCCUGGAGGCGACUCGGCUGCCUGCAGCUCCCUCUCUCUCC
ensembl:miRNA tgu-mir-2960 tgu-mir-2960